ACCUUAGUUGAAGUAGCGAAAC
rnacentral:snRNA from 1 species